GGCCAAUAUGAAGGAUAUAAUUCCUCAAAGUUUCUUCAUCCUAGGAGGAUCUGAGUCCAUCAUGGCUGGGAAGAGUUGUGACUCUAAGAGCUGGAACCUAAAACCCACACCUUCAAAUGAAAAUCCUGCUCAUGUUAAUGUGGAUGACAGGUGGAACAAAGUCAGACAUCAC